rnacentral:rRNA from 1 species
CUACGGGUGGCAGCAGGGACGAAAACUUUACAAUGCGCGCAAGCGUGAUAAGGGAAUUCCGAGUGUGCGUACAUUACGUGCGCACUUUUCUUAAGAGCAAAAAUCUUGAGGAAUAAGUGGUGGGCAAGACUGGUGCCAGCCGCCGCGGUAACCCCAGCGCCACAAGUGGGAACCACUCUUAUUGGGUCUAAAGCAUCCGUAGCCGGUCUUGUAAAUUUUCUGUGAAAUCGUCCUGCUCAACAUGACGGCGUGCAGGAAACACUGCAAGACUAGGGACCAGGAGGAGUAGACGGUAUUCCCGGGGGAGCGGUAAAAUGUUAUAAUCCCGGGAGGACCACCGAUGGCGAAGGCAGUCUACUAGUAUGGAUCCGACGGUGAGGGAUGAAAGCUAGGGGAGCGAUCCGGAUUAGAUACCCUAGUAGUC